GGUUGUGGCUCAGUGGUACAGCUCCUGCCUCCCAUGCAUGAGGCACUGGGAUCAAUCCUCAGCACCA
rnacentral:tRNA from 1 species